rnacentral:lncRNA from 1 species
GUUGAGAUGAAAGACAAUACAUAAUUGUAACCUAUGUAUAUCUGAUGUAUAUUCGUUGUAUAUAUGGUGUAUAUCCUAUAGGGCUAUGAUGAUAAACGACAUUGGGCUUGUCUUAGCUGUAUAAGUGGGUCAUAUCUGAGCCCGUAGGUAAUUGGGCCAUUUGACCCGUGUGUACCACCCGACCCAGUCCGUUUAUAUUAGUUUCUGUACAUAUGUGUAAAGCUUACACAACACACUUAAUAAUAAAAAUAUCUCUGAAAGCUUCCAAAGAAUUCUGAAACGCUCUCACUUCUCUCUCUACAUUUCCAUGGUUUUUCUUGGUUUAUCUUUGAUGUUUUCAUGGUAUCAGAGCCAACACAACGAUCCGAUCAUGUUCUUCUGCAUAUCAGUACCUCGGUUGAACUUUUGUUUGACAGUUUUUUGGGGUUUUUCUGAGACCGAUUGGUCGAUGAUGUUUCCGACUCCGAUCGGAGGUGCUUCAGAGCGUUUUCAUCAUGCUUUCUGACUGUAUUCUCUUCACUCCAACGGUUUGAGAGAUUAUUACAGAUUUUCCGGAGAUUUUCCGGUGAGCUCUCGACUUCUAGGGUUUCUGGUGGUCAAGUCUGUGCUUUGACUACUGUCCGGUGGUUCGAUUCUCACUUUGCGGGUGUUUUGAGUGCUGUUCCAACACCUUUGACCAUAUCUCCAGUAAGUUUUGACGAUUACACCUAAGGUUCUGUACCUAGGGUUUUCUGUGAUUUUGAAGGCCGAUCUUCUCCGGUUGCGAAGAAGGACGGUAACUGUGACCCUAUUCUGAGUAUUACAUGUCUUGCAUGUGAUUAUUUGUCUCUGUUUGUGAAUACUGAUAUUUGGUGUUGUUUGUGAGAUACUUGAUUUGGUUAUAAUCUGUUUGUUGAAAACCCUCAUUAUAACCUAGCUCAUUGAGUAUGGCUUCUAAUACGAAUCCUGGUACUUCUGCCUCAAUGGACUCCUCCAGCCCUCUGUUUGUGUAUUCUUCUGAUGUGCCUGGGGUUUCUCUUGUUCCCACUCCCUUCUCGGGUAGUGGUUACGGGGGUUGGAGACGUAAGAUGAUUAUGGCUUUGAGUGCUAAAAAUAAAAUUGGCUUCAUUGAUGGUUCAUGUACUCGUCCUGCUGUUAAUGUGAACCAACAGAGGUUGUGGGACAGAUGUAAUAACAUGGUCAUGUCUUGGUUGACCUCCUCUCUGUCCCCUCAAAUUGCUGACAGUGUGCAGUACUCUGACACUGCACAGAGUAUGUGGUCUCAGCUUGAGAAACGAUAUGGUACCCCUAACAAGACUAAAAUCUUUGAACUAAAAAGGGAACUAUCUCACACAUCUCAAGGCUCCUUGGAUAUAGCCUCAUACUUUAACAAACUUAAAAGCUUGUGGGAUGAAUUAGGCACAAUGUGCACAAACCAUGGGCAGAGAUGUGUAUGUGCUGCCGGAAAUGGAAUAAUUGAGGAAGAUGAUGAAAACAAGGUGUUCCAGUUCCUUAUGGGGUUAAAUGAGACAUACUUGGGAGUUAGGAGUAAUUUGUUGAUGAUGCAGACAUUUCCUUCCCUUGACAGUGUCUACAACAUAGUGCUCAAUGAUGAAAAGCAGAGACAAGUUCAAUCUGUCUCUUAUAUCAGUCCAGACUCUAUAUCCUUUAAUGCCCAUUCAAGCAGGCACUCAGUUGGGUCUAACCAGGGCAAACUGCCUGGUCCUAUUUCCAGACCCAGAGUUAAUUUUGAGCGAAACAGAGGAACCUUAUUCUGCAGAUACUGCAAGAGGUCUGGGCACUUAAUUGAUAAGUGCUACAAGCUCCAUGGGUUUAAUUAUUGACAUCAAGUUGAAACAAAGGCCAGUGGUUCUUGACAGCCACAGCAACGAGGCAUUUCACUGAAGUCAUUUUAAUGACAGGAGAAAAAGUGUCAGUAAAAUCAACACCCUCAACUUGGGUAUCACCCCUAAUAACCAGCCUUGCUUUAUAUCUUUCAACUAGACCAUCAGACUUGUAUUUGACUUCGUAUACCCAUUUACAGCCAAUGGGUUUCUUACCAGGAGGAAGUGGCACAAUAUCCCAGGUAUGAUUGGCAUCCAAGGCAUCAAAUUCCUGUCUCAUUGCAUCCUGCCAUGCUGGGACAGAUGUAGCUUGAGAGUAAUACAUAGGUUCAAAUUCCAAAGUGGAGGAAGAAGAACCAGAAAAUGCAGGGAGUUGGCAAACAUAAUCCUUGAGGUAGGAAGGAGGAUUAUGCUGUCUAGUAGACUUUCUAGAAGUGGGAAGAGGUGAAGAGGAGCCAGAAAAGGCAGAGAAUUGACACAUAUAGUCCUUUAGGUAGGUAGGUGGGUGAUGCUGUCUGGUGGAUUUUCUAGGCAGAGGAGGUGGUUGGGAAGGAGGUAACAGAGGAACAGGGAUAUCAGCAUUGAAAGAGGGAGGAGAAGGAGCAGGAUCAAAAGUUGGAGGAGAGGAAUCAGGAAUGGAAGAAAUAGCCUCAGUAAAAUCAUCAGGAAUAGGAACAGAAGAAAAGGGUGAAGGAGAAGGUGGGGAAGGUAUAUAUUUGGUCUUAAAAGGGAAGUAGGUUUCAUGAAAAACAACAUCUCUAGAGACAAAACAUUUUUUAGUGUCCAAAUUAUACAAUUUAUACCCUUUCUUACCAAAGGGGUAACCCAGGAAAACACAAGAAUGGGCUCUAGGUUUCAGUUUGUCUCUUUGAGGAAUUGGAACAGCUGCAUAAGCUAGACAACCAAAUGCCCUCAAAUUAGAGUAAGAUGGAGGGGUACCAUGUAAGAUUUCAUGGGGAGAUUUAUGGUGAAGGACUCUGGAUGGUAGUCUGCUAAGAAGGUAAAUGGCAGUUAACAGGCAAUCCCCCAAAAAUGAAAUAGGUAAACCAGACUGAAAGAGAAGGGCUCUACAAGUCUCAAGUAGAGUUUUGUGUUUUCUUUCAACAACCCCAUUCUGUUGAGGGGAAUGUGGACAGGUGGUUUGAUGAACAAUCCCCAGGUUACUAAAAAGGGACAUACCUUCAGCACUGGAACCCAGUUCCAGUGCAUUGUCACUUCUGACAAUAUGGACCAUAGUGUGAAAUUAAGUUUGAACAUAGGAGAUGAAAGAUUUAAGCAAAGAAAAGGCAUUGCUCUUGGAACCCAUCAAAUGUGUCCAGGUGGCUCUAGAGAAUUCAUCAACUAUAGUAAGGAAAUAUUUAUAACCAGAAGAAGUAGCAGUAUGGUAAGGUCCCCAAGUAUCUACAUGGAUUAAUUGAAAAGGUUUAACAGCACUGAUGGUACUGUCAGGGAAAGGUAAUCUAGUUUGUUUUGCCAUGGGACAAAUGGAACAAGGAAAAGGUUGUUUGGGAGCAAAAGGAAAGGAUAAACCAGAAAUAUGUUUCAUGUUAGCAAAAGAAGUAUGUGCAAGUCUCAAAUGCCAAAUGUAAUUCAUAUCAGAUGCAACAACAUUAUUACAAAUGGGAUUUUUUACAAUAGGGGAGAGGCUAAUAUAUUUGCUUUCAGACACAUUGUCAUCAUUACAAACGUCAAAGGCAUUACACACAAAAGAAAAAGAGGAAUCCGGAGAGGUAGAAGAGGAAGGAUGCACCCAAGAUAACUUGUAUAAUCCAGCUUCCUCUUUACCAAGAUCCAGAAGCCUCUUCAGAGAAAGGUCCUGUAGCAUGUGAAUCAAACAGAAAGUUGGGGUGAACAAGACUAUACAAUGUAACUGUUUUAUCAAUUUAUGAACAGAGAUCAAAUUAUAGGGUGAACAAGACUAUACAAUAUAACUGUUUUAUCAAUUUAUGAACAGAGAUCAAAUUAUGUAUGAAGGAAGGAACUAGAAGUACAUUGUGGAGGGUAAGGGAAGAAGUUAAUGCAAAAGAACCUUUACAGGUUACCUUUACUUUGUAACCAUUAGGUAGAGUGACAAGAUAGGGAACAGUUAAAGGUAUGAUGUUAAAGAGUAGAUUUUUAUCAUAAGUCAUAUGGUCAGAUGCCCCUGAAUCAAUGAUCCAGGUAGCAGAAUUAAUAUUUGUAAGCAUGCAUAAUUUGGAAUCAGAAACAAGACUCUCAGUCAACAUAGUACCAGCAAAAUUAGCAGCACACAUGGGAGAGGAAGUUUGAUCACUAGAAUCCCUUGACCUGGUCUGUUGCAACAAGCUUAUCAGUUGAUCACAUUGCUGUCUGCUCAACCCUGGUAUCACAGACUUGUUGGCAGCAGGAUCCCCAAGAGGAACAGACAGGUCAGAAUUCCCAUGAUUAUCAGACACACAGUCAGGACCAGUGGAGACAUGAGCAGCUACAGAUUUCCUUCAUAUAUAUGAUGUAUAUUCAUUGUAUAUAUGGUGUAUAUCCUAUAGGGCUAUGAUGAUAAAAGACAUUGGGCUUGUCUUAGCUGUAUAAGUGGGUCAUAUCUGAGCCCGUAAGUAAUUGGGCCAUUUGACCCGUGUGUACCACCCGACCCAGUCCGUUUAUAUUAGUUUCUGUACAUAUGUGUAAAGCUUAC